CCGAAGGAGGAGGCAGCCGGAAAAGCAGAAUGGUGAAGACGGCCGACUCCAAGCAACCCCAGGCUUCCUUCCGGGGCUGCCUUCGGUCACGUUUCCACUUUUGACUUCAUUCACCCGCCCUAGAGGGAUCGUCCAGGGUGAAGAAAUCGUUGUCAGUCACCCCCACCUCACCGGCAGCCAGAGGGACCGGCUGACAUGCAUGCUCCCAUGGGGGUGGGGAGAGGACUUAGAAGCAGAAUACGGAAACAUCUGGAAACCCCUCUCCACGGAUGAGUACCAGAGACUACUGAUCCAGAAGCAGUCUUUCUCUCCUUACCCCUUCCAGGAUAGGCUCAGAUGCAAGCUCUGACCCAACCAAUUGAAUAGACGUGAUGCUUGCCCAAGGAUCCCCUACCAGUCCUCACUGUGGAGGGACAGAGGCAAAAAAAAAAAAAAACAGGGCUGUGCUGGAAGACAAAUAAAGCAAGAUGUGGUUGGUUGA